AAUCAGUGAUUCCCCUAGGGGACUCCCUGCUUUGGCUGCAGAACAACCUGGAAUGGCUGUUCCCAUUGAAACCAAAGGAAGAGGGAAGGCCCUGAUCCUAAGCUCGGCAGCCCCGCCCAGCCUCAGCCAGCAGAGCCUUCGUUUUGUCGUCUGAAAACUGGGGGAAGAGUAUCUCCCUCAAGGGAGGGCCGGAUGAGCUGAAGAGCACCGGAUGCAAGUGCAUAGUCGGGUUCAGCAGGUUUCUUUCUUUGCCUGUGCCUCCCAGAUGAUGGAGAGUGUGGGCAUGUGUUGGGAGAUGGGACAUAGGGAUGGUGGGGACAGCUCUCAGAUGGUGAAAUGGGGCUUCUGUGAACACCAGUCCACAUCCCCAUUCUGCCCAAGGAUAAUCUGUUGCUUCUUCCCCUCCCUCCUACCCAUCAUGAAGCCCCUCAUCUGCCCACCCAUCUGUCCAUCCGUCCACCCAACUAUCCACCUACCCAUCCAUCCGUCCAUCCAUCCAUCCAUUCACCCACCUACCCAUCCACCCAUUCAUUUGUCCAUCUGUCCAUUCGUCCACCUACCCAUCCAUUCAUUCAUCUGUCCAUCCAUCCAUCUACCCAUCCAUCCAUCCAUCCUUCCAAGACAGCUCUCUGCCCCUCCAAGCUCUGCACAGAAGUCUCCAGAAGCCACAGCAUUGACCAGUAGUUGUGAGCUGAGAUGCCUUCAGGGGCCAGGCAGGGUUUCGCUCUUGUUGCCCAGGCUGGAGUGCAAUUGCGUGAUCUGGACUCACUGCAACCUCCGUCUCCCGAGUUCAAGCGAUUCUCCUGCCUCAGAUUCCGAGUAGCUGGGAUUACAG